rnacentral:rRNA from 2 species
CCUGANAAACCAAAAGAUCGAAUGGGGAGAUUCAUCGUCGACUUAGCUGGCUCCCGUUGUGGUGCGAUUCCCCCGAUGGGACUCUGUCUCAAAACGCAGGAACGCCCCUUCGGCGAACGACCGGCGACGUAGACGUGCACUUCUCCCUUAGUAAAACGUCGCGACCCGUUGUGUGUCGGUCUACGGCCUGAGCUCUUUGCCUGUCGCGGGCACCAUCUUACGCUCGCGGCAGAGGUUCGGUCGCCCGGCCGGCUGCACGACGGUACUCUGACGGUAUCGGGCCGCAACCAAUCCAUUUUCGAAUGUAUGUGCGUCAGGCCCGUCGCAAGCUCGGACAGCACCCUGGUGUGUGUGGACAUAGCGCCCUCCCCUGGUCUGGCCAGCUGUUUGCAGACGGUGUCCUCGGACUGGCCAAGCUUUGAAUUACCGGUCAGCGACGCUAUUGCUUUGGGUACUCUCAGGACCCGUCUUGAAACACGGACCAAGGAGUCUAACAUGUGCGCGAGUCGUUGGGACAUUUUAAACCUAAAGGCACAAUGAAAGUGAAAGUCGUCGUAAGCGUCGACCAAGGGAGGAUGGGCCGCCUUACGUCCCGGCCCCGCACUCCCGGGGCGUCUCGUUCUCGUUGAGAAGAGGCGCACCCAGAGCGUACACGUU